UACGGAAGGCAGCAGUGGGGAAUAUUGCACAAUGGGCGCAAGCCUGAUGCAGCCAUGCCGCGUGUAUGAAGAAGGCCUUCGGGUUGUAAAGUACUUUCAGUCGUGAAGGAAGGUGUUAAGGUUAAUAACCUUAGCAAUUGACGUUAGCGACAGAAGAAGCACCGGCUAACUCCGUGCCAGCAGCCGCGGUAAUACGGAGGGUGCGAGCGUUAAUCGGAAUUACUGGGCGUAAAGGGCACGCAGGCGGUUAAUUAAGUUGGAUGUGAAAUCCCCGGGCUUAACCUGGGAAUGGCAUUCAAGACUGGUUAGCUAGAGUCUUGUAGAGGGGGUAGAAUUCCAUGUGUAGCGGUGAAAUGCGUAGAGAUGUGGAGGAAUACCGGUGGCGAAAGGCGGCCCCCUGGACAAAGGACUGACGCUCAUGUGCGAAAGCGUGGGGA
rnacentral:rRNA from 1 species